rnacentral:rRNA from 1 species
UGCGGAAGGAUCGAAUUACUGUGAUUUACUACUACACUGCGUGAGCGAGAACGAAAACAACAACACCUAAAAUGUGGAAUAUAGCAUAUAGUCGACAAGAGAAAUCUACGAAACUUAAACAAACAAAACUUUCAACAACGGAUCUCUUGGUUCUCGCAUCGAUGAAGAGCGCAGCGAAAUGCGAUACCUAGUGUGAAUUGCAGCCAUCGUGAAUCAUCGAGUUCUUGAACGCACAUUGCGCCCCUCGGCAUUCCGGGGGGCAUGCCUGUUUGAGCGUCGUUUCCAUCUUGCGCGUGCGCAGAGUUGGGGGAGCGGAGCGGACGACGUGUAAAGAGCGUCGGAGCUGCGACUCGCCUGAAAGGGAGCGAAGCUGGCCGAGCGAACUAGACUUUUUUUCAGGGACGCUUGGCGGCCCGAGAGCGAGUGUUGCGAGACAAAAUAAAAGCUCGACCUCAAAUCAGG